rnacentral:ncRNA from 2 species
AAUAAGUUGCGGGGGGACUCGUGAGAGUUGAGAAGGUAAAACCUGACCCUUUGAACCUGUCAGUUAAUACUGUCGUAGGGAAGCAACAAACUAUUAUUA